rnacentral:lncRNA from 1 species
GCUUGAGACACAAUAUUGUACGAGGACUGAUCAGUAAUAGGGUUAUUUCCAUGGAAUUUGUAAGGUCUGAAAAGAACCUAGCGGAUCCGCUUACUAAGGGAUUGAAUAAAAAGGUAGUCCAAGAAGCGUCCAGAGGGAUGGGACUAUUGCCAAUAUCUUGAGUAAGUAAUACGCGAUGGAAACCCAACCCAUGUGAUUGGAGAUCCCAUGAAUUGGGUUCAAUGGGUAACAACAAGUCACGUAAUUACUUAAUUAUAGCACUACAAUUAUUUAUAUCCCUUCUUGUGUGCAUGUAGUGUUUACUGACAAAUUGUGAAAGGAUGAAUCGUUUAGAUUCUUAAUGAAACUCAUAGCCCCUAAAGGGUGGUGUAUGUCAGUAUACACUUGAUGGGUUCACCUAUAUAAAGGUGGAAGUGUAGGCCGCUUCCUAUGAGAGUCCUUGGCAAACUCUCUAGAGCCUUUAUGAAAAUCUGGGACAUGGCGCAUGGCCUAGAACGCGCCCAACCGCGGACUUGUGUGGAUUCAGGAUUUAAGAUAUGUGUGCAAGCUCAACUGAUUGUAUCACAGAUAAUAGGUUCAAGAAUAUAAUUCACCUAUAAUCUACAAUCAUGAGCUUGUUCCACUAAGUGCCGAUUCAAACCCAUAAGGUAUCGACAUUAUGUAUCUAAAAUCCAUUGCCCUUCUCACUUCCUUUUGAAUUUUAUCUCUUUGAUAAUUUUGGAUCAUGUGGGGGAUUGUUGGUUAUGCUCCAAAAUCUUAUGUUUUUGGCAAAGUCCCACAUUGGCUAUUCUUGGAACUCUCAUAGUGCAUAUUAGUACUUGUUGUUAUGGGCUUAGUAACAUGGUUGAGGAAAUAGGGAUGGGCUCGCGCACAUGAGGACGGCUAAGGAAUUGGGCGAAACCAAGCUUGGUUCUCGGGCUUUCGAACAGAAAACCUUAGUGCGUGUGUACGCGCGAUACGCCCGCGCAGGGGGGG